rnacentral:rRNA from 1 species
UACGUAGGGGGCAAGCGUUGUUCGGAAUUACUGGGCGUAAAGGGCUCGUAGGCGGCACGGCAAGUCAGGAGUGAAAGCCCGGGGCUCAACCCCGGAAUGUCUUUUGAAACUGCCGAGCUAGAGUGCGGAAGAGGCAACUGGAAUUCCCAGUGUAGCGGUGAAAUGCGUAGAUAUUGGGAAGAACACCUGAGGCGAAGGCGGGUUGCUGGGCCGACACUGACGCUGAUGCGCGAAAGCCAGGGGAGCGAACGGG